AACGAACGUUAGCGGCGCGCUUAACACAUGCAAGUCGCACGAGAAAGGGAGCAAUCCCCGGUACAGUGGCGCACGGGUGAGUAACACGUAGGUAAUCUUCCCUCGAGUGGUGGAUAACCUUCCGAAAGGGAGGCUAAUACAGCAUAAGACCACGGGAGCGAAAGCUUCUGAGGUCAAAGCCGGCCUCUAUACAUAAGCUGGCGCUUGAGGAUGAGCCUGCGGCCCAUCAGCUAGUUGGUAGGGUAAUGGCCUACCAAGGCGAAGACGGGUAGCUGGUCUGAGAGGAUGAUCAGCCACACUGGAACUGAGACACGGUCCAGACUCCUACGGGAGGCAGCAGUGGGGAAUCUUGCGCAAUGGGCGAAAGCCUGACGCAGCGACGCCGCGUGAGUGAUGAAGGCCUUCGGUGUAAGACUCUGUGGGAGAGACGAAUAAGGCGAAUGGCGAAGUACCCAACUAGUUGAUGACGGU
rnacentral:rRNA from 1 species